AUUUAAUAUGAAAAUCAACAAUAAUAACAAAGUCAACAUAUAAUACAAUGUCGCAUAGUAACCAUGGUAACAAAAACAAUCUCUUCAUAGUCCAUUCAAACUUUAUAUAAAUCAUUCUACGGUCCUGUGUAUCAAUCUACAAACAGUAUAAAAACACCAUUGAUAUUUCAAAUUAGGUCAAAAAUCUCCCAACAAUACAAAGAUGUACAAAGUACUGUUGCAAUGUUAUAUAGUUCCUGUUUAUUGAGGAAUGUAUUGUUUUAAUUACAUGUUUCAUGUGAUUGUUUCAUUAAGCGAAUCAUUAUAAUCUUGCCUCCAUAAUGGUAAACAAUGUAAAAAAAAACAAAAAAAACACAUCAACAGAAAACAAAAUCUCUCAUCAAAAUUAUGUGUUUCUAUAAGGUAAAUUUAUACUGCUUGUAUGCAGAGACUUAUCUUUCAUUGUACAUGGCUCAAUUUGUUUGUAAUUUUGGAUGAUAAAACACAUUGGACUUGAUAUGACUAAAUCAUGAAUGCAUUGCAAAACCUUAUACCAUUGGCAAGUAAACUUCACACAUAAAUGUUACAUAUGAUAAUGCUACACUUAGUUUGAAAUGAUCGUCAAAUUGAUAUGUAAAUGUAUUUUUUUCUAGGCGUUGAUAAGUGCGGUGAAUCUUUUGUUAGUUGUGGUGAUUCCAAAUUAUUGUACAAGACAAAAUCUGUCAGUUAUGUGUGCAGUUAUUGUGAAAUUGAAAUUUAGCCAUUAUAGUAGCAAUAAUUCAAAACACAAUUGAAAUCAAAACGAGUGAAAGUGGUUAAGUACUGAAAUAAACUUCAUAUAAAUAGCCAAAAGAACAGAUUUUAAACGUUAUCAUCGUCAGACUCUGAGUCGUCAAACUUUCCAAAAUAUGGAAUAUCUGCAGGUUUUUUUUUAUAUUUCACAACCUGUUUCACUUAUCAGACAAACAAUACUUUCUAAUAUUUAGAACGGUGUAUUGCUUAGUAUUUUUCUUUUGUUCUGCGUUUGGUCGUAAAGACUUUUAUCAUUAUAUUUAACGUUUUCCUCUGCCAAAAACUAAAUUGAUUAUUAAAACUUAAUUUUUAUAGACAAAAUACAAUAAGAGCCCAAAACUAAAUCAUCAAAUAUACUUAAUAUGUUUCUAAACUGGGAUAAAAAAGAAAAAGACGAAUAAAAAAACUGCCUUUUGACUGUAACAAUUUAUUUUAUAUUAACAAGUGCGAAAACCCGUACCGAAACUGUUCAGCUGUAAAUUAGCUUGCCGUCUGACCCGUGUGACCUUCACAAACACAACCGUAUAACAUCCGGGAAAUUUGUUAUCCAUUCGGAAGUUUGAUCGAAUGGUUCCGAUUUCCCAUCUGUCAUCAUUUGUUAAUUGUUAAAACUGGUGGGUUUAAAAAUUACUAGAAAAAUACAGAAUAUGUACGAUGCUUAUUGAGAAAUGGUUACUACAAAUAAUAAAUUAAUGAUUGGCAACUGAGGUAAAAGGGCUAUAAAGCGUGUAUGGCACAUUGAGUAAGGGAGCAACCAUUUGAUUGUAAUUGAAAGUACGAUGUGGAAAAAAGCAUAAAUGACAAAUGUAGAAAAACAAAAUAAACAAAUGAUUCAGGAACAGAAUCACACAAGGAAAAUGAUCAUGACCCGUCCAACUGUUUGUUCCUUAAUUGAAAUAUUUGAUAGUUCUUAAGGUGGUACCUAACACUACAGGGAGAUAACUCUGUAAAGUCAGCUUAACGUUUUAAUAACGUUGUGAUGUAAAGGGAAUAUUAAGCUUCUCAAUGAUCAAAAUUGGUGUUUGUCAAACUGCUAUAUAACCAUUGUAAUUUUUCUGAUAAAACGGUUGGUUCAAAAUUUUUGAAAUUUUUAUAUUUUUGUUAAAGGGUCAAAGUAAUUACUUUGACACAAUUUUAUGAAAAUUAAACGAGCCAAAUUAAUUUGAGUGAAAGUGUUGGGUACCACCUUAAAGGCAAUACAAAUGUGAACAUAUGUUGUAUACAAACGGAUAUCACAUCAAAUAAAAGAAAACAUUUGUAAUUAUAUUAAAACUAGAACUCUGAUUACUUCCCUUUACCAAAACAGAUGAAUAUCAAUAUAAAUGGAUACCCUUUCUUUUGCUUAUUCUGUCUAAAAGAAUAUUACAUAAUUUGGGAUACAAUUUGCAANUAGAAUCGAGAGCAGUAAGCAUUUUCUUCUCGAGUGUAAUAAUUACUCCCUUGUCCGAAAACGUACGAUAGAAAAAAUUCCGUUCCCAUACAAUAUAGAAACACUCCUAUUUGGCUGCAAUAACCUCAAUCAAGAGG
rnacentral:lncRNA from 1 species